rnacentral:rRNA from 1 species
UACAGAGGGGGCAAGCGUUGUUCGGAAUUACUGGGCGUAAAGGGCGCGUAGGCGGCCAUCUAAGGCGAACGUGAAAUCCCUGGGCUCAACCCAGGAAAUGCGUCCGAUACUGGAAGGCUUGAAUCCGGGAGAGGGAUGCGGAAUUCCAGGUGUAGCGGUGAAAUGCGUAGAUAUCUGGAGGAACACCGGUGGCGAAGGCGGCAUCCUGGACCGGUAUUGACGCUGAGGCGCGAAAGCCAGGGGAGCAAACGGG